AUGAGUAUGAGGUGGCGGCUCAUUUAGCUAAAUGAGCAACCAAGAGGUGAAGUGACGAGAUCCAUAUCUUUGAUGUGACUAGCAAGCUGAAUCUCACUACAUGAUUAUCUCUCCUUAGCUCAUUUAGUAAAAUUAGUCGUCACUUCAUACCCCA
rnacentral:pre_miRNA from 1 species